AUAAAGAAAAUGAAUUUAUUUUAAUUCCAACAAACGAUUUGCAAAAUCCUCUUUGUAAAUGUUAGUCAUUUAAAUUCUUAUGCAUUUCAUAUUUAUUUAAAUUGAAUAUUAAGCAUUUAACAUCUACACGAGCUAUUUAUUUAAGCAAACACUGAACGAUUAUUACAGUUUUCAUAAUACAACCCGGAAGACCUUAUUUUAUAUUACUCUCCCACCUACUUCCUUCCACCUACUCCCUCUCACACCCACCUACUCCCUUCUUUUUGCAAACUUAAUAUAGCUGGUUGAUCCGAGCUUCCAUUUUCUAUCCUCCACAAUCAUCCCACACAUUUCAUCUCCCUCAUCAAUUUUCAGCACAUCAGCUACUGAACAAAUUCAGAAGAUUUGCAGAAUGAUAACCCAACAGAUUUCUUUUGAAGGUUGAGCAGUUGAUGGAAUGGAAUGAUGUUGAGCGGGUGUUCCUUUGACAUUUCAAGAAAUGUAACCUUGAGUAUACAUCUUCAUAUGUAUAUCUCACACGUUUUCCGCUGCAAAACACUUUGAUUAGGAUAGCUCUAUGAUAUGAAGUUGUGAUACGUGUUAUUGGGUAACCACCUUAAUCAGUUCUCAAUUAUGUGUAUGUUUUAUAAGUAUCCAAAUAAUCAUAUAUGAUCCUAGCAUUUUAUCUAUGAGUGACAUUUCCAUA